AUAAUACAUUUAAAAAAAAGUCAAAUGAAAUAAAAGAAAUUGACAAAAAAAUGGACAAUAUAACUUUUUAAGAUGAUGAGCUCUGCAGUUUUGUGCAAGAACGUGCAAAAUAUUGUCCAAGUAAUCUGCAAGAGUUUACAGUACAAAGUAUAGCGUUUAUCUAAAUAGCUGCGAGCAAGGCUGGGUGGAGCCACACAGCAAGCUCACAGUGUGAACAAUGGAAGUAAUGGACAUGAUGUCAUUUGCAAAAGCGUACACCAACACAGAAACUAAUGAACCGUUGGGUAAAUGGAAAAUAAACCUACUUUUUCAGACUACCUCACCUUGAAGUGAGAGAAACAAUUCUCCAUUUCCUCCAGUUACCUUGACUGUGUUCAACUUCAAUUAAAUUCCAGCCGACCUCAUAUUUGGGCUACUCCGUCUCUUUUUAUGUCAUUUGUUUUUCUGCCUUUUUCUGUUUUGCUGGCAGCUGGCAUGCAUUAGUGUUCUGUCAUGUGCACAGCUUAACUGAGCAAGGUCAGUGAAACAACUGGAAUGUUUUCAUUUUGGUGUUUGUAUAUUUGUUCUUGCAAUUCUUUUGACCUCUGAAACAUAUUUGCAGGAGGAUGUGCUCUCCAGGGCCAGAUGGUGCCACAAUAUGUAGCGUUAUUGUAGCUCAGGGACAAUUACAGGGGUGAUAAAAUGAAAGGGAUGACGAAUGGAAGGAAGAAAUCAUGGAGGUGAAUGAUGAAUUCUUUGAGACAAAAAUCUAAAUACUAAAAGCCAUUGUUUGAAUGAGCUGAACAGGUUGUUUUUGCCAAACAAAUCCAGCUGCAGAGCAAAAAAAAUUCCAUUUUAAGUUUUUGUAAAUUUGCAAAAAUUCAUUGUUUCACAAGAAGUAAUGCGAAUUCUCUCGCGGUUCAUGUUUCAGCCUUGUAAUGGGCUGCAGUUGUACCAUGCAGCUCUCUAUCAAUCACUUUUAUUUUCUAGCCCACAAGUAGCCUCAUAUUUGUCCAAAUCACCAUUUGCAUCACAUUACUUUUUAUACCCUUAAACUUGUUUUUUAAUAAAUGAUUUAACCAUG